GGGCCCUUAGCUCAACGGAUAGAGCGUCGGCCUCCGGAGCCGUAGAUAGGCGUUCGAUUCGCCUAGGGCCCACCA
rnacentral:tRNA from 1 species